GUCACAUAUGUAGGAGGCUCGGC
rnacentral:piRNA from 1 species